rnacentral:lncRNA from 1 species
CCAAAGCCCCUACCUUCACCAUACCCCAUAGGCUUAACUGUUUGGUCAGGAUCUUCUGGUUCACUCGCCAGGGACUGCACUUUAUGAUCAGGCUUUUCUUUGUGAUCGAGCAUAGUUUUAGGAUCAGGUUCUUCUAGCUCACCCCACAUGGUUUGCAGUUCAUGAUCAGGCAUGACCUUGUCCUCAGGCUCUUCUGGUUCACCCGGCAUGGACUGCAGCUUAUGAUCAGGCAUGACCUUGUCCUCAGGCUCUUCUGGUUCCCCGGGCAUGGAUUGCAGUUUAUGAUCAGGCAUGAUCUUGUCCUCAGGCUCCUCUGGUUCACCCGGCAUGGACUGGAGUUUAUCAUCAGGCACGACCUUGUCCUCAGGCUCUUCUGGUUCACCCGGCAUGGACUGCAGCUUAUGGUCAGGCUUCACUAUGUGCUCAGAUUCUACAUUGAACAUCUCAUGAUCUUGCACGCUCAAACUAGGCUUCACAACAUGGUUCAUAUCUAGCUUCAUUGAGAGAUCCUUGAGAACCCUGCGUGCCAAAGU